rnacentral:misc_RNA from 1 species
AAAAUUAGAAAAGAUUAGGAAAAAUUAGAAAAAAUCAGAAAAAAUUAGAAAAAAUUAGGAAAAAUUAGAAAAAAUCAGAAAAAAUCAGGAAAGAUUGGGAAUAAAUCUACGAUGGUGUAACUUCAGUUGCAUUUCAUAAAACACUUCCAGGACCAGAGGAAGAUGCGGUAACCCCCCAGAUCAGAGAAAAUUAACAGAAUUCAUCUAAUUUAUAAUCUCCAACGCAUGACAUUCGGCAACAUGUACAAAGUGCAGCGUACUCUACUCUCCUCCUUGAAUCUCGAGACAUUUUUCAAAGGUUGUCUUGCUUGCUCAGAGCCCCACAGGUUACCUGCAUCUCGGAGGCAUCCAUACAGCUGUGUGCGACACGGUGCAGCUAUUAAUUGGCUCAGGCAAACCAAGGAAAUUCUAUUCUACGUUUAGAAGACACCGAUCAAACAGGACUCGCACUAGAUGCUACCGGUAAACUUCAAGAGGAUCUAUUUUGGGCUGAAAUCAUCCCAUACAAAGACCCGACAAGGAUGGGACCUGUAGGCCCUUACUUUCAAUCAAAUCGUAUGAAAUUAUAUAA